GCUCCGGUAGCCUAGCGGUUAGAGCGUCCGCCUUGGAUGCGAGAGUUCGUGGGUUCGAUCCCCGGUCGAGUCA